GUCAGUUUGACCAGUGUGUGUGCAAGAGAGGGCAGAGUGGGCUCAAUAGGGAGAAAUCUGCUCAGGGCCAAGGAUCCUCUUCCUGUCCAGAGCAGAGGUUUUUCGGGUAGGAGGAGAAAGCACCCCCAAAACUCUCAAAGGAAAAGGGCCCAAGACCGAGCUUAGGAUCACACCUGAGGAGCAAUGAUAUGAUGAGCAAUGAUCUGAGGGACCGGCGGGGUCCCAGCUCCUGUACUUUCCACAUGGAGCACCUCCAGAUAUCGCCCACACCCCUGAGUGGGUGAACUGGGAUCACAGACAAGCAGAACUGUCAGGACCUGACUGCGGACCUGAGCACUGAACGCCAGACAAACCAAAGAGAAAGGAGAAGUUGACCAGAGAAUGACCCCAGAUCUCAUACAUACUCACUUCCAUGCAUCAGCAUAUUGAAGGACACGCCUGGAAAGCUGGUGAAUAUUCUGAUUGAAUCAUCCCCUAAAAUUGCCACCUGCAGAAAACAUAAAAACUCUCAAGACUAAGGACCCACGUGCACUGUUUCUGGAGCACAUCCUCGUCUGCCCACUCGUCCUUCCUCAGCUUUCAUUUCAGAAACUACAGAGAAGGCCCAUCCUGGCUCCUAGAAAACAGCUGACCUCCCGGGCCACUGCUGCAGAUCACUACCUGGAGCCCUGGCUGGUGUGGCUCAGUGGGUUGAGCACUGGCCUGGGAACCAAAAGUUGCUGGUUCGAUUCCCAGUCAGGGCACAUGCCCGGGUUGCGGGGCAGGUCCGCAGUAGGGGGCACAUGAGAGGCAACCACACACUGAUGUUUCUCUCCCUCUCUUCCCCUCUGUAAAAAAAAUAAAUAAAUAAAAUAUUUUUUAAAAAAAGAUUGCUACCUGGGGACAAGUGGAGGCAUCUGGGCCUUUGUGUUCCAAGGAGAGACAGAGGACCACCUGCUCCUGGGGACAGCUAACUGCCCAGGACAGGAAUGUUGCAGCUUCUAUCACCUAAUCCUCCCUGAAUCUCAGAGCCUUCAAAUCUCACCUUGUUUAUUACCUGUUACAAAAAGUCUGGCCUGGAAGGAGCAGGCAGGACGGUCUGUUAGGGUGUGAACCCACCACCUUCUCAGACCGCCGGCCACCUGAAUAAAGCACCCGUAAAGAUUCAGUCGCUGUCCUUG